rnacentral:tRNA from 1 species
GAGCUCAAUUGGUGGAGCAUGAGACUCUUAAUCUCAAGGUUGUGGGUUUGAGCCCCACAUUGGGCA